GACGAACGCUGGCGGCGUGCUUAACACAUGCAAGUCGAACGGUGAAGCGCUUGCCUUUUUGGCGGGUGUGGAUGGGUGGCGAACUGGUGGGUAACACGUUAGUAACCUGCCCUCUUCUUCUGGAUAACCUCAUGAAAGUUGGGCUAAUACGGGGGAUUCCGGGUCUGUCGCAUGGCGGGAUUGGGCGCGAUUGCGCCUUUGGGUGUCUUCGUAGGGGGAUGGGGUCGCGGCUUAUCAGCUUGUUGGCGGGGUGUUGGCCUACCAAGGCGGUGACGGGUAGCCGGCCUGAGAGGGUGAACGGCCAUGCAGGGACGGAGACACGGCCAAGACUCCGGCGGGAGGCAGCAGUGAGGAAUAUUGCACAAUGGGAGCAAGGCUGAUGCAGUGACGCGGCGGGAGGGAUGGUGGCCGGCGGGUUGUGAACCUCUUUCGGGAGUGAAGCAGGGCUGCCUAGUUUGUGGGUGGGUUGACGGUAGCUGGAGAAGAAGCGCCGGCUAACUACGUG
rnacentral:rRNA from 1 species